AUACGACCAUAGCUUGUAGAAAGCACUGGAUCCCGUCUGCUCUCCUCUAGUUAACCUACCAAGCGCUGGAUUCGUACUACGGUGGGUGACCACGUGGGAAUCCCCAGUGUUGUAUG
rnacentral:rRNA from 1 species